rnacentral:rRNA from 1 species
GACGAACGCUGGCGGCGUGCUUAACACAUGCAAGUCGAACGGAAAUGUCCUGCUUUUGUGGGGUGCUCGAGUGGCGACCGGGUGAGUAACACUUGAGUAACCUGUCCUUGACUUUGGGUUAACUUCAGGAAACUUGGGCUAAUACCGGAUAGGAGCUCCCGCUUCUUGGUGGGGGUUGGAAUGUUUCGGCGGUUGGGGAUGGACUCGCGGCUCGUCAGCUUGUUGGUGGGGUAGUGGCUUACCAAGGCUUUGACGGGUAGCCGAGCUGAGAGGGUAACAGGCCACAUUAGGUCUGAAAUACGACACAGACUCCUACGGGACGCAGCGGUGCGGAAGAGUGCACAAUGGACGGGAGCCAAGUGCAGCGAAGCCGCGUGCGGGAUAAGGGGCUUCGGGUUGGAAACCACUAUCGCUUCUCACGAGGCGUGAAUGACGGUAAUGGGUAAAGAAGCACCGGCUAACUACGUG